CUCAGGACCCUUCAGGCAGGGUAGUAACUAGCUAUGUUCUUCAAACCCAAAGGAUUUGGCGGUUUUUUAUCUAAUCAGAGGAACCUGUAUAAUAAUCGAAGCUACACGGNGCAUNUUACCAGAGGUAGGCCUGUAUACCGUCGUCUAGACAGUUCUAAAAAGAUCUCUCGUCACGGGAUACAGUAAUGGCAGAUCAAGGUGCAGCUUACUCUGGCUGGUAUGGGUUACAAUCCAAACAGGGCUGGAUGGCUAGUUUAUAAGCGGCUUAAAAUUGGAUUUGACAGUAAUAAGUUUAAGUAAANACGUAUNAAGAUGCUAUGGGAAAC
rnacentral:rRNA from 1 species